rnacentral:rRNA from 1 species
UACGGGGGGGGCAAGCGUUGUUCGGAGUUACUGGGCGUAAAGGGUGCGUAGGCGGCCUUAUAAGUAUGGUGUGAAAUCUCCCGGCUUAACUGGGAGGGUGGCGCUAUAGACUGUGGGGCUAGAGUGUGGGAGAGGAAAGUGGAAUUCCUGGUGUAGCGGUGAAAAUGCGUAGAUAUCAGGAGGAACACCGGUGGUGUAAACGGCUUUCUGGACCAUAACUGACGCUGAGGCACGAAAGCGUGGGUAGCAAACAGG